UGCGGGAUCGUCUAAUGGUAGGACGCAGCUCUCUGGAAGCUGUUAUAUUGGUUCGAAUCCAGUUCCCGCAGC
rnacentral:tRNA from 1 species